ensembl:lncRNA
CAACUGUUCCCAUCAAAAAGGAAUGGUGCAUUUCUUUUUUAUAGGUGGCCUAUAUCCAGGAGGUGCCUAUCCUGCUGGAUCUGCUGCUGCAGCCUAUAAAGCCGCCGCUAAAGCUGGACUUGGUGUACCUGGUGGUGGCAUAGGUGGAUUACCUGGAGCUGGCUUUGGUGGACUACCUGGAGGUGGAGUAGGCGGACUACCUGGAGGCGGCAUAGGUGGACUACCUGGAGGUGGUGUGGGCGGACUACCUGGAGGCGGCAUAGGUGGACUACCUGGAGGUGGUGUGGGCGGACUACCUGGAGGCGGCAUAGGUGGACUACCUGGAGGUGGUGUGGGCGGAUUACCUGGUAGGUCUAUUAAUAUCGAGUAAUUAUAUUAUCAGUGUUAGGGAUAUAC